rnacentral:tRNA from 1 species
GCGGUAGUAGCUCAUCUGGCAGAGCAGCUGUCUUCCACACAGCAGGGCGGGGUUCAAGUCCCCGCUACCGCU